rnacentral:rRNA from 1 species
GACGAACGCUGGCGGCGUGCUUAACACAUGCAAGUCGAACGGAAAGGCCCUGCUUUUGUGCGGUGCUCGAGUGGCAAACGGGCGCGUAACACUAGCGUAACCUGCCCUUGCCUUUCGGCUCACUUCAGGACACUGGGGCUAAUACCGGUUAGGAGCUCCUGCUGCUUGGUGGGGGCUGGAAAGUCUCGGCGGUUGGGGAUGGACUCGCGGCUUAUCAGCUUGUUGGUGGGGUAGUGGCUUACCAAGGCUUUGGCGGGUAGCCGGCCUGAGAGUGUGACCGGCCACAGUGGGACUGAGAUACGGCCCAGACUCCUACGGGAGGCAGGAGUGGGGGAGAUUGCACGAUGGGCGGAAGCCGGAUGCAGCAACGCCGCGUGCGGGAUGACGGCCUUCGGGUUGUAAGCCGCUUUCGCCUGUGACGGAGCGUUAGUGACGGUAAUGGGUAAAGAAGCACCGGCUAACUACGUG